rnacentral:rRNA from 1 species
CCUACGGGAGGCAGCAGUGGGGGAUAUUGCACAAUGGGCGAAACCCUGAUGCAGCGACGCCGCGUGGGCGAAGAAGUAUUUCGGUAUGUAAAGCCCUAUCAGCAGGGAAGAAGAAAUGACGUUACCUGAGUAAGAAGCACCGGGUAAAUACGUGCCAGCAGCCGCGGUAAUACGUAUGGUGCAAGCGUUAUCCGGCUUUACUGGGUGUAAAGGGAGCGCAUGCGGCACGGCAAGCCUGAUGUGAAAGCCCGCGGCCCAACCGCGGGACUGCAUUGGGAACUACCGGGCUGGAGUGCCGGAGAGGUAGGCGGAAUUCCUAGUGUAGCGGUGAAAUGCGUAGAUAUUAGGAGGAACACCAGUGGCGAAGGCAGCCUACUGGACGGUGACUGACGCUGAGGCUCGAAAGCGUGGGGAGCAAACAGGAGUAGAUACCCCUGUAGUC